UACAGAGGUCUCGAGCGUUAGGCGGAAUCACUGGGCUUAAAGCGUGUGUAGGCGGAUCGUUAAGUGCCUUGUGAAAUCCCACGGCUCAACCGUGGAACUGCUUGGCAUACUGGCGGUCUUGAGCAACCUAGGGGCGAGCGGAACAAAUGGUGGAGCGGUGAAAUGCGUAGAUAUCAUUUGGAACGCCAAUGGUGAAAACAGCUCGCUGGGGGUUUGCUGACGCUGAGACGACGAAAGCCAGGGGAGCAAACGGG
rnacentral:rRNA from 1 species